rnacentral:SRP_RNA from 1 species
AGCUCCUCUGCGCCCGGGAGGCCGUGCACCCUGUGCAGUCCGU